rnacentral:sRNA from 1 species
AGAGAUGCUCUGGAGAUCCUGACUCUGGGCUCUGGUUGAUUCACAGAGUCUGCACCCUUAUUUAGAUAACCAAGUUAAGAGGAAGACUUAAGAAUUCUUCGCUGCAGCUGCCUUACCGCCGAGAACCACCACCCGCCGGGCGUCUUGCGGCCACACCCCUGGCGGGCUCAGACAGGCUACGCCCACGCGACCCCUCCCGUUUCCCUGCUCUGGCCAAUGGAGGAGCUACGAAUGGCACGACCUGCUCGAGCUUGGCAGUCUCCAGUUGCGCUGUGUAUGGAAGCCUGGGAAGACUUUGUUGGAAGGGGAGGCGGGGAGAGAGUGCUGGAGGCUCUCGGGCGAUGGCUUCCGCACCCCUUCCAACCACCCUCUUUCCCUGGAGUCGGCGGACCACAGCUCAGCCAAUUGGCUUGGAGAUGUGGCGGGUUGCCACUUCCCUGUGGGUCUGUGCGGCACUCUUCUGUCUGGUGACUGACACCUUGGAAAUGAAGUUUAUGACGUCAUCGUUGCGGCUGGCCAAUAGAAAAAGCUCCCGCGGAGAGGUGUU